CAUGCAGCCUCCAGCAUAUUGUUACUGAAGCUGAACCAAACACUCAGACUCACUAUCAAUUCUCAUCACCAUGAAGAUGAUGUUGACCAUCUCUCUGCUCCUCAGUGUUGGCUUUGCACUGGCUGAUACAAUGUCUGUUCCAGAAUUGAGAAACGACCUGAACAGACCAGGUUGGAAGGUCAUCAAGAACUGUGUGAAAGUGACAACGACCGUGGUAGAGGAGUUUGACAACAUGCCGCCGCAGGAGAAGGAGACGGUUCAGAUCUUCGGGGGACCAGAGUGUGAGAACAACAAUGAGAGAAGCAAAAGAGGAUUUGUUCGCAUCGGCCGACAACUCUCCAAUUACUGAAGCCUUGAGUAGUGUCACCUGGAGAAGACUGACCUGGCCUCCCCAGUUUACGUACGUGGCCCUUGACUGUGGGUAUCCGGUGACAGUGGACGAUCCAGUACAGUGACAGGCAGUGAAGACGACAUGGGAAUGUGGGAUAAUCAUGAAUUAGAAAGUUCAAUUAAAUUUAUUGGAUUCACUCCAACUACUGUCUGUCUGAAAAGUGACACACUAUACCCUGUGUUUUGCAGAUUUUGAUGGUCAUAAUUAGUUUGCUUCUCUGUUAUAUACCAUCUGGUAACUCUCUCUAACUGUGAAGUCUCUGAGGCCAUACUGUAAUGUAUAUGAACACAGUAUU